GCAUUUGAGGAAUAUUACAGCUGCCCCCCUAGGCGCUCAGCCUGCUCCCCCAAAUCACCAGCUCCGUUUCCAUCCAUCACCGACUGCAGGCAACAGCAUCGGGAUCGCAGCUGCUUCCCAAAGAGGCCCCAAGCCAGACGCUAAUAUGGAAACGGCGUGAGGAGAGGAGUGAAAAGGCUGUUGGCAAGUUUCCAUCUGCGCGACGUCAGUUCUCGAUCCGGAAGCAGGACGGGAGCAGGCUCAGUGGACGAGACCGGCCAAAGGCAACCAGGAAUGGGGUUCCCGAAAUGAAUUUUGGGACCACUUCAUCUGUUAGGAUUGAGCACUUUCCAUGUGCAAAGCACUGUAUCAAACGCUAGGACAUAUACCUGCAUAAGACGUUGACAUGGUCCCCCACUCCAAGGGGCUCACAGCCUAAGAAGAAGUGGGGAGAAGGUGCUGGCAAGAGACACAUAAGCCGGUCGUGGACCCGAUCCAAGAAGAGCAGAUGGGAUCUUGAAGAUUAUGGACCCCUGGAUUUUCAAGAAGGGGCUUGGGACCUAUCGAAUCCCACAGGAAGAGACCUCAGACAAGCCAGUUUCUCCAUCUGAUGGGACCGGACACCACAGACUCUGGGCUUCCGUAUUACCAAACUUGGGGUAAUUGCCACUGGAACUUACCAUACGAAGAAUCUUCUAUGUUGUCGUAUAAUUUACUGUAACCUCGGACCUCUGCCAAGAACAAGGCAACCGUGGGGAUACUUAUCCAUGGAAGUGCCUGGAUACUAUAUUUUAUCUCUCGUUGCACUUGGUUCUGAAAAACAGAUUUCAGUAUUUAAAAGUGGAAAAGGUUGGUUUUUGUCAAUAUUCACAUUUAUUUUAUGAGUAUUUCUUAGGGUCCCCUAGGAGCUCAAUUUUAACUACUGGUACACUUUAACACAUAUGUGUAGGUGGAUGUAAAAGGCAAUUCUAAAAUUAAGCAUAAGCAGAAAGUUAACAUUACUUUUGUUUUUCUGACAGUUACUUCUUUGAGGUUAUUGUAAUUACCAAGAUUUCCUAUCACUUUUUUCACAAAUAUCUGCUGAGAAAACAUGACAGUAACUGAAAAAUGGAAACUUCAAAAUUAAACUCCAUGUGGAUCUUAAACUAUUCACUCCAUCAUACCCAGAUGAAAUGCCGAGUAAAGAGUUCAUUUAAAUUGCGAGAGGAUGACUCUAAUAAAGUAAUUUAGACUUUCCUAGA